rnacentral:lncRNA from 10 species
UGUACCCCGAGCUGGAGGCUUGAUCCUGUGGCAUCUAGGCUCACCUCACUGCGGUUGGUGGAGGUGACGGAGGUUGCAGCUUGGCCAGCAUGGUAGAAAGGUGGCAGGGUAGGUGAGCUAUCCAGGGAUGCACUACCAUGGAUAGGAGCAAUAUCAAGGUCACAUUGCCGGCACAUCUGGCUUUUACCACCCAGAUGCUUCAAGCCAGGAGCUGGAGGAGUCAUCUGUUGCACGCUGGAGGCUGGAGCCUGCAGAUGGCAUGGUUCUGUGGCUCCCCUUGCUGCAGUUGGUGGCAGAGACAGAGACUGCAGCUUGACCGGAGUGGUG